UCGGUGAUGGAUGGGCAUGCGUCUGAUUAGCUAGUUGGUAGGGUAACGGCCUACCAAGGCGACGAUCAGUAGGGGAGCUGAGAGGUUUUUCCCCCACACGGGCACUGAGACACGGGCCCG
rnacentral:rRNA from 1 species